UCAUUGUCGAAACCUGCUAAAGCAGCACGACCCGCGAACACGUUUAAAACACAUGGGAGGGACGCAUGCGGCCUCGUGCCGCCGGCCCCCUCCCAACGACGGGGGUGUGCUCCUUGUGGGCUCCCUCCGGCGUAACAACGAACCCCGGCGCGGACCGCGCCAAGGAACAUGAACACAUAGCGUGCCCCCCCGUGCUCGGUUCGCCGGCAUGUGGGUUGUGCACCUGUCCAUACUUAUUAAACGACUCUCGGCAACGGAUAUCUCGGCUCUCGCAUCGAUGAAGAACGUAGCGAAAUGCGAUACUUGGUGUGAAUUGCAGAAUCCCGUGAACCAUCGAGUCUUUGAACGCAAGUUGCGCCCGAAGCCUUUUGGCCGAGGGCACGUCUGCCUGGGCGUCACGCAUCGCGUCUCCCACCCCUCGCCUCGUGCGGAGGGGGAGGAGGAGGAUGGCCUCCCGUGCCUCACCGGGCGCGGCUGGCCUAAAAAGGGAGCCCACGGCGACUAGCAGCCGCGGCGAUUGGUGGUGUGUAAGCAUCGGUUAGCCGUCGCGCGCUCACGUCGUCGGGGGAGCUCGGAGGACCCCGAGUGCAAGCUCGAAGCCUUUGCGACCCCAGGU
rnacentral:misc_RNA from 1 species